CUUCUCUAGAGCCAGGAGGCAGAGGGUGGAUGUACAUUAGAAGUAACUCAGAAGGGCUUGACUCCUCUGCCUGUCAGAUUCUGUGUUCUAAGGCUGCAAUGGUCCCAGGGCCACUGGAAGAAAGGACUUUCCCAGGAAGGUAAGCUUGGAGACACGGAUUCAGGUGUGGGCAUGUCUGAUCUACUCUGCCCCUCAUCUGAGACAUGCCGCCCCUCGAUGGUGAUCUUCAAGCUGGCUGCUAUGUUUCAUUCAGCAAUUGUGUGCCAGUGAGCCUUGGAUGUGCUGAGAUUUGGAAUCAGAGCUUCUGCUGUACUUGGACAACCUGUAAUUGGGGAGAAAGAUAUCCAAACCACACAUCCCCCAACUUGGCCUGCAGUGGGUCCACUAGAGAUGAUGAAGCAUAUAUUGGCAGGAGCCACCCAGGAGAACUCAGCCAGUGGCUCUGGCAUGGAGCCCAGGACCUGCCUUCUAACCACCCUCCCUCAUGCAGCUCACACUGCUGCUUCCUCAUAGCCAUACUCUGAGAAUCACUGAGCUUCGGAUACCAUCCCAGGUUAUCUGAGCAUGCCAAGCCCUCGUCUCAGCCUCUGCUUUCCAGGGUCAGACAGGCGAAGGUCAUUCUGAGGAAUCUGAACUUUGUCCUGUAGACAAAAGCAGUACUUUGUCAAGAUUAAAGCAAGGACAUCACUCUGCUGAGCCAAGAGUCACCAGGGUACCAUGAGGUUGGGAGAGAGUACCCUGAAUGGCCUCCACCCAUUCCUGGGGUUUUGCCAGUCAGCUCUGGCUAGGCAUUCCUUUCUUGGCACAACUAGGCCACUGCAUCCCAUUCAAGAACAGUGCAGACAAAACCACCUGGAGGGCCAGCUGUUCACAUGUGAAAGAAAUAAUGAAAGAGUCACCUUGAAAGUAAAGAUAGGCAUCCAGAAAGGAAAAGAAACAAUGACUCCAGCAAACUGACACCAAGAUGCUGAAUACAUAAUGGUCCAAAAUUCAGAGAAGCAAGAAAAAUGCCUUUCCCACACUUGCAUCAUCAGAGAGCCAUUCCUCUCCUUAUAAUAAACCAAUGAUGCUAA